rnacentral:rRNA from 1 species
UGAGGAAUAUUGCGCAAUGGAGGCAACUCUGACGCAGCCAUGCCGCGUGCAGGAAGAAGGCGCUACGCGUUGUAAACUGCUUUUAAUCGGGAAGAAACCCUAGGACGUGUCCUGGGUUGACGGUACCGAUGGAAUAAGCACCGGCUAACUUCGUGCCAGCAGCCGCGGUAAUACGAAGGGUGCAAGCGUUAUCCGGAUUCAUUGGGUUUAAAGGGUGCGUAGGCGGGGCCAUAAGUCAGUGGUGAAAUCUUGCGGCUUAACCGUAAAAUUGCCAUUGAUACUGUGGUUCUUGAGUACGCUUGACGUGGGCGGAAUGUGCCGUGUAGCGGUGAAAUGCUUAGAUAUGGCACAGAACACCGAUAGUGAAGACAGCUCACGAAAGCGAAACUGACGCUGAGGCACGAAAGCGUGGGGAUCGAACAG